GCUCCAUAAUCUGGACAAGAUGAAUCUAUUGACUUCAAUGCCAACAGGUUGAUCUGGGUAAAAUAAAUCAAGAGAAAAAUAGCAAAGGGAAAA